rnacentral:rRNA from 1 species
AAGCUCGUAGUUGAAUUUCGGGGUUAGUAGGUUGGUCAUGCCUCUGGUAUGUACUGGUCUCACUGAUUCCUCCUUCCUGAUGAACCGUAAUGCCAUUAAUUUGGUGUUGCGGGGAAUUUGGACUGUUACUCUGAAAAAAUUAGAGUGUUUAAAGCAAGCUAACGCUUGAAUACAUUAGCAUGGAAUAAUGAAAUAGGACGUUCGAUCCUAUUUUGUUUGGUUUCUAGGAUUGACGUAAUGAUUAAUAGGGAUAGUUGGG